GCUGACUGGAUGUCUGCGUUGACUGUCUUGAAAAAGACCUUAUAGGUCGAAACGUCGACUAUUUAUUGAUGACUGCGAUGAACUAAUAAAAGCCUUUUAAUUUAUUGGACUGCCAACAGGACUUCAUCAACUUCAGAAGAAGAAGAGGAGGAAGGGAAGGGAUAAAAAGAAUAUAAGACUAAAAGAAUGGAAAGAUGGUGCAGGAAGGUUGUUCCAAACAUCAUGGAGAACUAACUACAGAUCUUCAGUGGAUGUAAGCUUGCUCAAAUCCUUCUUUCUCUUCAUGUAAUCACAGACAGACUCCAUGAUGUUGAGAUCAAGUUCUUAGGGGCCAUAUCAUCACUUCCAGGACUCACUGUUGUUCUUCAUUAUGCUGGAAAUAGUUCUUAAUGACAUUAUCUGUAUGUUUGGAGUCAUUGCCCUGCUGCAUAAUAAAUAUGGAGCCAAUCAGAUGCCUCCUUUAAUAACUGUUUGCAAGUGUACCUAGAAGAAUUGAUGCUGUUUUGAUGGCAAAGUGUGGCCACGCUAAAUAUUGAUUUGA